rnacentral:rRNA from 1 species
AGGACGAACGCUUGCGGCAUGCCUGAGAAAUGCAAGUCGAACGAAUCUCAAGGAGCAAUCUUUGGGGUUAGUGGCGAACGGUCGAGUAACACGUAAGCAACCUGCCCGGAAGCGGGGGAUAAGCCGUCGAAAGACGGGGUAAUACCGCAUACCUUCAUGUAGGACAUCCUUAAAUGAAGAAAGGUUUACCACUUCCGGAGGGGCUUGCGGCCUAUCAGCUAGUUGGGGGGGUAACGCCCACCAAGGCGACGACGGGUAGCUGGUCUGAGAGGACGGCCAGCCGGACUGGGACUGAGACACGGCCCAGACUCCUACGGGGGGCAGCAAUCAGGAAUCUUGCGCAAUGGGCGAAAGCCUGACGCAGCGAUGCCGCGUGACGAUGAAGUC